UACGUAGGGGGCAAGCGUUGUCCGGAAUCAUUGGGCGUAAAGCGCGUGUAGGCGGUUCGAUAAGUCUGCUGUGAAAGUCCAGGGCUCAACCCUGGAAAGCCGGUGGAUACUGGCGGACUAGAGUGCGGAAGAGGCGAGUGGAAUUCCCGGUGUAGCGGUGAAAUGCGCAGAUAUCGGGAGGAACACCAAUUGCGAAGGCAGCUCGCUGGGACGUUACUGACGCUGAGACGCGAAAGCGUGGGGAGCGAACAGG
rnacentral:rRNA from 1 species